AGGACGAACGCUGGCGGCGCGCUUAACACAUGCAAGUCGUACGGGGCUCCUUCGGGGGUUCAGUGGCGAACGGGUGCGUAACACGUGAGCAAUCUGCCCUUGUGCGGGGGAUAACCAGAGGAAACUCUGGCUAAUACCGCAUGACAUCCUCUGGCUGAUGGCCUAGGGAUUAAAGCUGCUGAAAGGCAGUGCGCAGGGAGGAGCUCGCGGCGUAUCAGCUAGUUGGUGAGGUAACGGCUCACCAAGGCGAUG
rnacentral:rRNA from 1 species